CAGUCGCCACGGUAAUACGAAGGGGGCUAGCGUUGUUCGGAAUCACUGGGCGUAAAGCGCACGUAGGCGGACUUUUAAGUCAGGGGUGAAAUCCCAAGGCUCAACCUUGGAACUGCCUUUGAUACUGGAAGUCUUGAGUUCGGGAGAGGUGAGUGGAACUGCGAGUGUAGAGGUGAAAUUCGUAGAUAUUCGCAAGAACACCAGUGGCGAAGGCGGCUCACUGGCCCGAUACUGACGCUGAGGUGCGAAAGCGUGGGGAGCAAACAGGAUUAGAUACCCCUGUAGUCCCUGUCUCUUAUAC
rnacentral:rRNA from 1 species